rnacentral:antisense_RNA from 1 species
CAUAGAUACGCUCCUUUGCGUUUUGUGUGAUAAGCAUAAAGAAAAACUUUUGGUCGGGAAUUUCUUUAUGCUUUUUAUUAUAACA